AAAAAAAAAAAAAAAAACUCUAUCUUGUCUUGGAAAUGAGAAAAUCUCUCAAAUGCUAGAUCCUCUGCUGCUACAACAUCUCUCUCUGAAGACAACGAUGAGAAAAUGCAUGCAAGUAGCGUUGCCAAAUAAAACAAGAAUUUAAAGAAAAGAGAAAUUGGGUGGUAAAUUAAUACAUGAUUAGUAGUGAUGGUUUCAUUGUUGUUGCUGGGGUUGGGAUAUAAA
rnacentral:misc_RNA from 1 species